rnacentral:rRNA from 1 species
CACGUAGGGCGCAAGCGUUGUCCGGAAUUAUUGGGCGUAAAGAGCGCGCAGGCGGUCGGAUCAGUCGAAUGUGAAAGCCCCCGGCUCAACUGGGGAGGGUCAUUCGAUACUGAUCGACUCGAAGGCAGGAGAGGGUAGUGGAAUUCCCGGUGUAGUGGUGAAAUGCGUAGAUAUCGAGAGGAACACCUGCGGCGAAGGCGGGUAGCUGGGCCGACACUGACACUGAGGAGCGAAAGCGUGGGUAGCAAACAGG